rnacentral:snRNA from 1 species
GGAUGUGAGGGCGAUCUGGCUGCGACAUCAGUCACCCCAUUGAUCGCCAGGGUUGAUUCGGCUGAUCUGGCUGUCUAGGCGGGUGUCCCCUUCCUCCCUCACCGCUCCAUGUGCGUCCCUCCCAAAGCUGCGUGCGCAGUCGAAGAGGACAACCUUCCCCGAUAGAGGAGGACCGUUCUUCGGUCAAGGGUAUAUGAGUAGCUGCGCUCCCCUGCUAGAACCCCCAAACAAGCUUCCAAGGUCCAUACCUCAGCUUCUUCUCUUGUGGAGCAGGUGUGUUAAUAAGAGUACUUGCCUUGUAAUGUUGAGU